ensembl:lincRNA Gm15892 predicted gene 15892
AGACCUUGAAGGGAAUCUUCUAAGGCAGGGAAGAAGCAGAGACUUGUAUCCACUGAACCAAAAUACAAGCACAUACUAUGUCCAAGGCUGACCAGUUCUCUGGUGGUUCCUGCUACUGAUCCAUCCAAACUGCUGGACUUGUCCUUCAUACCCAAGGUCUUCAGGCAGUAUCUAAUGGGAAGUCAACUCUAAAAGGAACCAGACUGUCAUUUCCUGGCCCCUUUAUUCUGUAGCUACCUCUAUGUGAGGAAAGGAUAGAAAACAUUCAAGACAUCAUAUGGGCUUACGAUCUACAGAUUCCAACCAGUAGCAGUGGCUGACUCCUACACAGACGACUGGGAACUGCAAACAGGCUGGGGUCACCUCAGUGACAUCUGACGCUGUCCAACCAGAAGUCUGACUUGUGUGUGCGUGUGCUGCAGGAAUUGAAAAAUGUACU